GCGCUCUUUCCCCAAUAUCGCAAAGAGCCCCGUGGUUAUGUUCUCCAAAUCGCCGAGCUGCGGCCAGCUGUUGCUAUGGCGACCGGAACCCGCUGACAACCAUCUCGAAGGGCCUCUGAGGAGGAGACUGCUUGGCUUCCAUUCAAGCGCAGUUCAAACGGCUCGCGCACAGUUCUGGGGAAAAGCCAGCUGCUACACUGUGGGAAUACAUAGCCUCAAGAAGAGGCCCUCACGGCAGAGGACUGGGGCCUUCUGCCAAAACCCAGCGAGAUGCUGGGCUCUCGCACCAAUGGCUGUGCGAGUGAGUGGGAAACAGACCCUCCGGCCCCAGUCGGCUUCAGAUGCUGGCAGCCCCACCUGUAACCUCAAGGCAGGCCUUGAGCCAAACCAUCCAGCUAAGCUGCUCCAAAUUUUCUGACCCACAACAACUGUGAGAUAAUAAAUGUUUGCUAUUCCAA